GUGGGGAAUAUUGGGCAAUGGGGGAAACCCUGACCCAGCAACGCCGCGUGAAGGAAGAAGGUUUUCGGAUCGUAAACUUCUAUCCUUGGUGAAGAUAAUGACGGUAGCCAAGAAGGAAGCCCCGGCUAACUACGUGCCAGCAGCCGCGGUAAUACGUAGGGGGCAAGCGUUGUCCGGAAUGAUUGGGCGUAAAGGGCGCGUAGGCGGCCUGGUAAGUCUGGAGUGAAAGUCCUGCUUUUAAGGUGGGAAUUGCUUUGGAUACUGUCGGGCUUGAGUGCAGGAGAGGUAAGCGUAAUUCCCGGUGUAGCGGUGAAAUGCGUAGAGAUCGGGAGGAACACCAGUGGCGAAGGCGGCUUACUAAGCUACAACUGACACUGAAGCACGAAAGCGUGGGGAUCAAACAGGAUUAGAAACCCCGGUAGUCC
rnacentral:rRNA from 1 species